GAAAAAUACAGAGGCAGACAGCUUGAAGUGAAGCACGAAGGCUGGGGAAAUGCAAGAGAGACAGAGACAGAGCCUCAAGGGGUCAGAAAGCAUGCUAAGGCAGCAGGUGGUAACAUGUUACCAGUACUGAUCAAAUUUAGUCUGGAUGUGACCAACCCUACAAUCUCCAAGUCAGAGCUGCUUUUACUGGAACAAUUUUUCUCAAGGAGUGAUUCCACCACCAUCCUUCUCCAAAAAAGGCUCUGAAAACGUCUAAACUGACCAAGGAUACCUGCAUAAUCGAGAAAGCCAGCUUCCCCCAGCAAGUGCUCUCAGAACCAGCACUCCAGGGACAAGGACUGAGCCUGGAGAUUGUGGUCUGCAGCUCUUAGUAACACAUGGCAGAGGUUUCUGUUCACAUGAGGCUAACGAGGUCCAAAGAAGGGAAGUGGCAUACCCACCGUGACACAGUUGGUCGGAUCCAGUGCCCACUCCUCGGCCAGAGAUCUUUCAGAAAAAUCUAACAGGGUCCUCAGUCUCCUACCAGCUAGAUUUUUUUUAAAUGACUGUUCUUAUGUUGCCCAAGCUGGUCUCAAACGCCUUGGCUCAAGCAAUCCUCCUAUCUCAGCCUGCUGAGUAGAUGGGACUACAGGCACACAACCCUGCGCCUGUCAGCCAGAUUUUUAAGUCACCAUAUUUCGUGGACCAGAAAAGUCAUCUGUCCUGGAGUGUUGUACAUGUCUCUGCUAUUCACUUGUUAACCUGUGAAUGAGUAAUCGCCAUGUGUUGCCAUUGCCACGCAUCACAUAAAAAGUCUCUUUUUGCUGAUGCCCAGGCUUACCAAUCCAGCACUAGAAGUGAUGUGCCCUCCUUGGCUUGCUAAUGCAUCUGCUUAUGGAGCCAGCCAGCCAGCUUCAUCCUGGAUUACGGUCCCAAUGUCUUUAUUGAGGUCUGGCCCCUAAGCGCAAGAAAGCCAGGCUUGGCAUCUGCCAUUUGAACCUGUUUGUGUUUCUUGGGACCUUAGAUUCACAGGACAUUCAAGCUGAUAGAGAGCCCAUGUGGUAUCUGGCUCAACCCCACCAAUUAUAGAGCAGCAAGAUGACUUGCCCAAAAGUGGCACAACUAGUUAAAAGCUGUGAUGCCAGUGCCUCUGCUCACUUCCUAUAGGAAAGUACUAGUGUUGAUUAUGGUCAUGUACUAGUAUAGAUCACUAGUACCAAUGGAUACUGGGAGAGUGUCACUGCUGGGACCACAGUAUGAGGAGAGAGGAGUGGCAGGAAAGAGCAUCAUCCAUGCAGCCGGAUGCUUGUGCACUGCACACCUGGUCAGGGAGGCUGCAAGAGCUCUGCUUCCUUGCAUUUGCCCAGAGAAACACUUUCCACUGUACAACUCAUUUACAUCUCAUUUGACCUUUAGGAAGGACACAGAACAAUAAUUCUCAGCUCCACUUCCCAAUAAGGUUGUACAGGCUCAAAGAUAAAUAAUUGAUAUCAAAUAACAAUAUGAUUUAAGUUUAAUAUAAAUAAUAAAUGAUAAUAAUAUAGUAUCAAAUAAUUGACUAUGUUCACACAGCAAGUAAGUUAUGGAGACUGAGGUCCCAUAUCUCUAGGGGUGCGCUUCCUACACAAUAAUAGCCUUGAUAAUAAAUGACACUUAUUUAGCAUUUACCAGGUGCCUCUCACUGUCAUUCUAAGCUACACAAACAUAUAUAUAUGUAUAUAUGUAUGUAUACGUAACUUCUCAUUCAUUCUUCGUAACAGCCUUUUUAACGUAGGUACCCAUUUCAUAGACAAGAAUAUCAAGAGGUUAAAACAAAGUUCAAACCAAAACCAUAUUCAAAUAGCAAUACUUUGUUCAGGGAUUUCAGCUCGUGGAAUCUGCCCAAGACUCAAUGCUCUUGAAUCACCAGUUGUAGGCAGAACUUUCCUUCCCUCAUUGCCUUCCACCCAACCAAACACACACACUGUCUCUUCAUUCCAAAAAGGAGCUAAACUAAAGCCCAGAAGUUCCAUGAACUUUUUGUUCCUGGGUUGCCCAGGAUCUCUCAUUUUAAGCUUAAUAAUAGCAAGAGGAAACCUCUGGGUGCGGCGGC
rnacentral:lncRNA from 1 species